rnacentral:rRNA from 1 species
GAUGAACGCUGGCGGCGUGCCUAAUACAUGCAAGUCGAGCGAAUGGAUUAAGAGCUUGCUCUUAUGAAGUUAGCGGCGGACGGGUGAGUAACACGUGGGUAACCUGCCCAUAAGACUGGGAUAACUCCGGGAAACCGGGGCUAAUACCGGAUAACAUUUUGAACCGCAUGGUUCGAAAUUGAAAGGCGGCUUCGGCUGUCACUUAUGGAUGGACCCGCGUCGCAUUAGCUAGUUGGUGAGGUAACGGCUCACCAAGGCAACGAUGCGUAGCCGACCUGAGAGGGUGAGCGGCCACACAGGGACUGAGAUACGGCCCAGAUUCCUACGGGAGGCAGCAGUAGGGAAUCUUCCGCAAUGGACGAAAGUCUGACGGAGCAACGCCGCGUGAGUGAUGAAGGCUUUCGGGUCGUAAAACUCUGUUGUUAGGGAAGAACAAGUGCUAGUUGAAUAAGCUGGCACCUUGACGGUACCUAACCAGAAAGCCACGGCUAACUACGUGCCAGCAGCCGCCGUAA